UUCGUAGGUGGCCAACUAAGUCAGACGUGAAAUCCCUCAGCUUAACUGGGGAACUGCCUCUGAUACUGGUUGGCUUGAGUGCAGGAGAGGAAUGCGGAAUUCCAGGUGUAGCGGUGAAAUGCGUAGAUAUCUGGAGGAACACCGGUGGCGAAGGCGGCAUUCUGGACUGUAACUGACACUGAGGAACGAAAGCCAGGGGAGCAAACG
rnacentral:rRNA from 1 species